rnacentral:rRNA from 1 species
GAUGAACGCUGGCGGCGUGCCUAAUACAUGCAAGUCGAGCGAACAGACGAGGAGCUUGCUCCUCUGAUGUUAGCGGCGGACGGGUGAGUAACACGUGGAUAACCUACCUAUAAGACUGGGAUAACUUCGGGAAACCGGAGCUAAUACCGGAUAACAUGUUGAACCGCAUGGUUCAACAGUGAAAGACGGUCUUGCUGUCACUUAUAGAUGGAUCCGCGCCGCAUUAGCUAGUUGGUAAGGUAACGGCUUACCAAGGCAACGAUGCGUAGCCGACCUGAGAGGGGGAUCGGCCACACUGGAACUGAGACACGGUCCAGACUCCUACGGGAGGCAGCAGUAGGGAAUCUUCCGCAAUGGGCGAAAGCCUGACGGAGCAACGACGCGUGAGUGAAGAAGGUCUUCGGAUCGUAAAACUCUGUUAUUAGGGAAGAACAAAUGUGUAAGUAACUAUGCACGUCUUGACGGUACCUAAUCAGAAAGCCACGGCUAACUACGUG